AUUAAUUGGGCCAAGGAGUAAAAGACAAUUGAGGCCCAUUACACGAGUCUCCAAACAAGAGGAGAGUCGCAGCUGCUGCUUCUGUAAUCGCCCGCUUUGGCCUCCUUGAAGGAUUUAACCGCCUCAGUAGUUGAGUUCUUCUAUGCAGAUUGGUGUGAGGUUUGUCGCUAUUUGGAUCAGUAACCUGAAAAUAUCUGGAGGAGUCUCAUCAUUUGAAAGCAGCUCCAGUUGUUGUUGAAGAAGAUUCUACUCGAGUUAGGUCAUCAUCAGUGGAUGGUAAAGCUGAAACGCAACCUGAGAUGCAGAGUGACUUACAAGUGCAGCCCCGCCUCCUGAGUCUGAUCCAACACCUCAACGUUACACUUAUAUUUCGUCUAACCAACAAGACACACCUCAAGAUAACCGCUGAAGAUGUGAGAUUGAGAGCUGUACCAAAACCUGAUGACAACACUGUUGUAAACUCCCAGUCUAGUGAAAGUCAGAUGGAAUCUGCUUCACCAAAGAAUCUUGCCAUUGAAAAGGCACCUGAGGCUGGCCAUUGAGCAUGAAUUAGAAAAGCCAGGUUCUCUCCUUCAGGAGUACAAUCUACAAGGCAAUGGUACUGAAACCACUGGAUGACCAUUAACAGGGUUUCUACUAACUAACUACAGAUACUGAGGCACUUUCUAACUCAACACUGAGGGACUAAGGAUGGAAAGUUGGCACUUGAUUUUCUGGAUGCCAUUCAUGCUCUGCUAAGGAGAGAGAGACAGUCACAUUUAGAAUCCCAAGUUUUUACUGCAAAAACUACGAGCCCUGAAGCCAUUCUGAUCUCAGGAGAAGUACGAAAGAAAAUGAGUUGAGAGAUCUUAGGGCCCGUGAGCUAAUGCGUAUAGAGAGGAGGCCGCGAUAUUGGAUAAGUAAAUUCAAGGCAUUUAUCAGAGUUUCCCAUCUUCAGGACACACUUUAUGGUAUAUGGGCAACUGGUGUAGCCUAUAAAGGAGACCCAAGACUUGUCUUCAAGUUUUACUUCAAAGGUGCACGUCACCGCCAAGCAGCUGUAUUGAUCUUGGCAGUCAUGAAAUGUGGGGGAAGUUUUACUUCUAGCUCGGAUCCAACUCUUUCAUGACAAAACCAUGAAGGGCACUUGGCAUCCAGGAAAGCAAGUGCUGAACAAAGCCUCUGAAAGAAGACCCUGCAAAUUUAUAAAUUAGAAAAAUCAUAAGACUGCAGAGUUUCUUUCUUUGAAACACAAGAAUUUUAGAAAAUGAGAGAGAGAGAAAUAUUGUAGCGAGCAUAUGACAGAAGCUGACAUUUCCUUUGGGCAUACGAUGUGAUCUCCUCCUUUGCAACUUGUUCAAGAUUCUA